GUGGGGAAUAUUGGACAAUGGGCGAAAGCCUGAUCCAGCGACGCCGCGUGUGUGAAGAAGGCCUGCGGGUUGUAAAGCACUUUCGAUGGGAACGAAAUGUGCCGGGCUAAUACCCCGGCAAGCUGACGUUACUCAAUGAAGAAGCACCGGCUAACUCUGUGCCAGCAGCCGCGGUAAUACAGAGGGUGCGAGCGUUAAUCGGAAUUACUGGGCGUAAAGCGCACGUAGGUGGCGACGUAAGUCGGGUGUGAAAGCCCCGGGCUCAACCUGGGAAUUGCAUUCGAGACUGCAUUGCUGGAGUACGGAAGAGGAGGGCGGAAUUCCCGGUGUAGCGGUGAAAUGCGUAGAUAUCGGGAGGAACAUCAGUGGCGAAGGCGGCCCUCUGGUCCAGUACUGACACUCAAGUGCGAAAGCGUGGGGAGCAAACAGGAUUAGAUACCCCUGUAGUCC
rnacentral:rRNA from 1 species